rfam:Asian citrus Psyllid, Diaphorina citri - Florida Strain, whole genome shotgun sequence.
GCCUUGUUAGCUUAGUUGGUAGUGCGUCUGCCUUGUAAGCGCUAGGCCGCGGGUUCGAUUCCCGCCCGGGGC